UGCCACACAGCCUGCCUUCAGAGGCACCA
rnacentral:piRNA from 1 species